rnacentral:misc_RNA from 1 species
ACCGUGCACAGCCCUACUCAAAACCGCACCCUACCUUUAUCGCCCUUCUUCUCCUUUCAAGGAAACUUGAAAAAUUUGAAGUUAAAGACGUGCAACUUCAUUCCUACUCCACUUCAACGGUAAUCCAAAUGGAAGACCGCGACUAAUCGUUACCAAUCGCUGCUGCUGCUGUUGCAUCUCCAGUGUCAAAUGUGAGGUUCAGGGUGGACAAUUUAGGCCCACAACCGG